GGAGAAAGUCAGGGACAUCACAGGCUGUGAAAGCACCCAUCCUGCUGAGAAGAAAAGCUUUGCCUUGCCAGGGCACAGCAAAACACAGCAAACACCCUCAAGUACAGGCUUCUCAGCUUCCCAGGAGAAAAAUCCUGGGCAAAGGGAUUUUUCAGAAAAUGUGAAUGCUACAAAAGGCCACUUCUUUCCCUGCAAGUGCUGCUCCUGGACUUAAAAUGAACCUGACACUUGACAAGAGGCAAAGCAUUGGACUUUGGCUAUCCUUGUCUGCUUCAGAAGCCUCCACAUCCAAAAACACCGUUUUAGCACAAAAGACACUGAAGGUUGUAGGAGGGUGGGUAAUUGUCUGGGAACUGUACAGACUCCACCUGUCCACUCAUCUCUGGUUUAGAGAUUGAUGGGAUCCACCACCUCCACUGCAUCCAUCAUGAACUACCACUGAGAAAAGAAUGGAAUAAGACAGCAGGAUCACACACAGAGCUCCCCUCCCUCAGUGGGCAGAUUUCUGUGUGGUGGCAGGUUUGAAAUGUCCCAACAGGGCUUGCCAUCCCAACACCACUUGCCUCCUCCUAGCACACAGUCAAAGCAUUGCCACUCUCAGUGACAC